rnacentral:rRNA from 1 species
UGCAAGUCGAACGAUGAUAGAGAGCUUGCAUUCUUGAUUAGUGGCGCACGGGUGAGUAAUGCAUAGAUAAUGUGCCCCUUAGUUCGGGAUAGCCACUGGAAACGGUGAUUAAUACCGGAUACUCCUUCUUGUUAUAAGACAAGUCGGGAAAGUUUUUCGCUAAGGGAUCAGUCUAUGUUCCAUCAGCUUGUUGGUGAGGUAAUGGCUCACCAAGGCUAUGACGGAUAUCUGGUUUGAGAGGAUGAUCAGACACACUGGAACUGAGACACGGUCCAGACUCCUACGGGAGGCAGCAGUGAGGAAUAUUGCACAAUGGAGGAAACUCUGAUGCAGCAACGCCGCGUCGAGGAUGACGCAUUUCGGUGUGUAAACUCCUUUUAUUAGGGAAGAUAAUGACGGUACCUAAUGAAUAAGCACCGGCUAACUCCGUGCCAGCAGCCGCGGUAAUACGGAGGGUGCAAGCGUUACUCGGAAUCACUGGGCGUAAAGGGUGCGUAGGCUGGCUUUUAAGUCAGAUGUGAAAUCCAAUGGCUCAACCAUUGAACUGCAUUUGAAACUGAAAGCCUAGAGUUCAGAAGGGGCAGAUGGAAUUAGUGGUGUAGGGGUAAAAUCCGUAGAUAUCACUAGGAAUAUCAAAAGCGAAGGCGAU